rnacentral:rRNA from 1 species
AUUGAACGCUGGCGGCAUGCCUUACACAUGCAAGUCGAACGGCAGCGCGGGAGCAAUCCUGGCGGCGAGUGGCGAACGGGUGAGUAAUACAUCGGAACGUGCCCAAUCGUGGGGGAUAACGCAGCGAAAGCUGUGCUAAUACCGCAUACGAUCUACGGAUGAAAGCAGGGGAUCGCAAGACCUUGCGCGAAUGGAGCGGCCGAUGGCAGAUUAGGUAGUUGGUGAGGUAAAGGCUCACCAAGCCUUCGAUCUGUAGCUGGUCUGAGAGGACGACCAGCCACACUGGGACUGAGACACGGCCCAGACUCCU